UACAGAGGGGGCAAGCGUUGUUCGGAAUUACUGGGCGUAAAGGGCGCGUAGGCGCCUUCUAAGUCGAACGUGAAAUCCCCGGGCUCAACCCGGGAACUGCGUCCGAUACUGGAAGGCUUGAAUCCGGGAGAGGGAUGCGGAAUUCCAGGUGUAGCGGUGAAAUGCGUAGAUAUCUGGAGGAACACCGGUGGCGAAGGCGG
rnacentral:rRNA from 1 species